UACGUAGGGUGCGAGCGUUAAUCGGAAUUACUGGGCGUAAAGCGUGCGCAGGCGGUUUUGUAAGCCAGAUGUGAAAUCCCCCGGGCUUACCUGGGAAUGGCAUUUGGGACUGCAAGGCUGGAGUUUGGCAGAGGAGACUGGAAUUCCCGGUGUAGCAGUGAAAUGCGUAGAGAUCGGGAGGAACAUCAGUUGCGGAAGGCGGCUCUCUGGACCAGCACUGACACUGAGGCACG
rnacentral:rRNA from 1 species